rnacentral:rRNA from 1 species
UACGAGGGGGGCAAGCGUUGUUCGGAAUUAUUGGGCGUAAAGGGUGCGUAGGCGGUGCGGUAAGUCUGUUGUGAAAUCUCCGGGCUCAACUCGGAGUCUGCAUCAGAAACUGCCGUGCUGGAGUGUGGGAGAGGUGAGUGGAAUUUCCGGUGUAGCGGUGAAAUGCGUAGAUAUCGGAAGGAACACCUGUGGCGAAAGCGGCUCACUGGACCAUUACUGACACUGAGGUACGAAAGCUAGGGGAGCAAACAGG